rnacentral:tRNA from 1 species
GCCUGGGUGGCUCAGUCGGUUAAGCGUCUGACUUCGGCUCAGGUCACGAUCUCACGGUUUGUGAGUUUGAGCCCCACAUCAGGCU